rnacentral:misc_RNA from 1 species
GUCGUAACAAGGUAGCCGUAGGGGAACCUGCGGUUGGAUCACCUCCUUACCUGAAGAUACCUUCCCGCGCAGUGUCCACACAGAUUGUCUGAUAGAAAAAUAAUGAGCAAGAACACCAGAGUCCCCAUCGUCUAGAGGCCCAGGACACUGCCCUUUCACGGCUGUAACAGGGGUUCGAAUCCCCUUGGGGACGCCAUCUCCUGAUAAUGAGUGAAAGACAUUAUCAACCAGUAUCUCAAAACUGAUUCAUUCCGUAAGGAUUAAGUCACGUUUGAGAUAUUUGCUCUUUAACAAUCCGGAACAAGCUGAAAAUUGAAACGACGUGUCGCGUUCAUUCUCCGUAAUAAGAAUGAAAAAUGGCGACAUGUUCGAGUCUCUCAAAUGCUUACGACUGACAUGAGUCCUGCGGGACGCUUGUGGGUUGUGAGGUUAAGUGACUAAGCGUACACGGUGGAUGCCUUGGC